AUGUAACAUGCCUAAACGAACAAAUUAUACCUACAAGAAGACCACUAUAUACCUAUCUCAAACAACCAUACACACCUCCACGAAAACCUCCCGAACUCUAAAAAUAGCUGCUCUCUCUGUACCAUUAUAUUUUUCAGUGUGUUUGAUGUAGGGAGUUAAUAUGUUUAUGUUGUAAUACCUCAUUUUAACCUGUUGAAAAUCAACCUAUUCAAAACAAGAAAGUUUAAAUUCAAUACACGACAAUCACAUUUGACAGAUUACCAACAUUAAAAUAGAAAAUAUACCAUUGACAGUUUCAACAUAACCUAAAAUAUAAUAAAAAGUGAUGUAUGAUAGCACAUGUUUAGAGAUUAACAUUUUAAUAGUGAAUUAAUUCAAUAAAGUAUCACAUACAUGUUUAGUUGUUCAAAAAAUUGACGAACUCCUGAAGAUGCUCCGAAAGGAGCGAAACCGGUAGAGUGAUAAUAAACACAUUUCACCUUUAA